rnacentral:misc_RNA from 1 species
GAUGAAGAACGCAGUGAAAUGCGAUAAGUAAUGUGAAUUGCAGAAUUCAGUGAAUCAUCGAAUCUUUGAACGCACAUUGCGCCCAUUAGUAUUCUAGUGGGCAUGCCUGUUCGAGCGUCAUUAAUUCCACUUAAGCCCUGCUUAGUGUUGGGAAUCUACUCUAGUGGUGCUACCCUGGAGCUACCCCUGAAAGGGGGCUGGCCCGGUAGCUACCCUGUAGUUCCUCAAAGAUAGUGCGCGGAGUUGCGUGGUCCUCUGAGCUUAGUAACUAUACACCUAGCUUUUGAGUGUCCCGCGGCGCCUGCCGUUUAAACCCCAUCUUUUAAUGGUUGACCUCGGAUCAGGUAGGAAUACCCGCUGAACUUAAGCAUAUCAAUAAGCGGAAGA